UACGUAGGUGACCAGCGUUGUCCGGAUUUACUGGGCGUAAAGAGCGCGCAGGCGGUCGUUCAAGUCGAGUGUGAAAGCCCCCGGCUCAACUGGGGAGGGUCACUUGAUACUGAUCGACUCGAAGGCAGGAGAGGGAAGCGGAAUUCCCGGUGUAGUGGUGAAAUGCGUAGAUAUCGGGAGGAACACCAGUGGCGAAGGCGGCUUCCUGGCCUGUUUCUUGACGCUGAGGCGCGAAAGCUAGGGGAGCAAACGGGG
rnacentral:rRNA from 1 species